rnacentral:lncRNA from 1 species
GCAGCGCAUGGGUGCAUUUGCGAGUUUACAGGCUUUGCAUGAGUUCGGGCAUGAAGCAGGCGCGGGCAUGGUUUCAGCAACGAGUGGGCGAAGCGAGCAUGCGGUGUGCAUGCAGAUGCGAGCAGUUUAAACCACUUCAGACUCAGAUUGGGCUUGUACAGGAGCUUGGGAUGUGGUGCAGUGCCUGGGACAUGCGACAUAGAGAGGGGUUUAGGGUUUUAAAAGAAAAUAAAAAGAGAAAAAGAAGCAUAGAUGGCUAGUGUUUAGGGAUGCCUUAACUUCUUCAUGCACCUCCAUCUCUCUUCCUUUCUGUCCACCAUCCUCUGAUCUCUAUAAUAAAUCUGAACCAUCCAUCCUUAAGAAAUGCUAGCCAACCAUCUCUAUUUCUUAGUCCCACAUUGCGAAAUCAGAUAAUUGGUGCUUCCCUACACCUAUAUAUAAGUCCCAACCCUCUACCUAGAAAGUAUGGAAUAAAUCCUCUUCUUUAGAAUUCCAGCAAGAAGGGUGAAGGGAGC